CACAAAAACAAUAAGAAACAAGUUCUGUUGAGACAAUUAUGAGUGUGAUUGAGUUUUUCUUGUUCCACCAAACAAGUUACCAUUCUGUUAUUUCAACCAGACGCCCUUCAAAAGGGUGACAACACUCAUUGAGAUACUCGUUCGCUCCCCUAGAUCGCUGAGUAGGUGGGUGAAGAGUGUGAUGCCAUUUGACGAGGCCGGACGCACUCAUCCUAUCCCAUGCCGCGGAGGUUGUUCCUACAUCGGUGGUCUUCUGUUUUGCACAAUUGUGUUGCUACCUUCUCACAUUUUUAACUCCCCCGCUUCCACGUCGCUGUUGGAGUCGAACUCAGCCGAAGACCGCGGGACAGAGGAGGUAUAGAAUGAGGGUUUGUUUGUAGGGGUGAAUUUGUGUUCAUAUAGUUCAGACUGUCUAGUAUAGUUGUGUAUUUUUCCUUUUGGUGUAUCUGUAGGUUAACAUGCAUGUGUGUUUUGGGCCGAAAUGAACCCAGCACGCGUAUAAAACGACUCUGUACGUAGUCUGUACAGUACAGUGUACACAUACAUCACUCCU